GAUGAAGAACGCAGCGAAAUGCGAUAAGUAAUGUGAAUUGCAGAAUUCAGUGAAUCAUCGAAUCUUUGAACGCACAUUGCGCCCGCCAGUAUUCUGGCGGGCAUGCCUGUUCGAGCGUCAUUUCAACCCUCAAGCCCCAGUGGCCUGGUGUUGGGGACCGGCGACCUCGCCCGGGGGAACACCCCCGGCGCGUCCGCCGCCCCCGAAAUGAAUUGGCGGCCCCGUCGCGGCCUCCUCUGCGUAGUAGCACAACCUCGCAGCGGGAGCGCGACGCGGCCACUGCCGUAAAACGCCCAACUUUUUUUAGAGUUGACCUCGGAUCAGGUAGGAAUACCCGCUGAACUUAAGCAUAUCAAUAAGCGGAGGA
rnacentral:misc_RNA from 1 species